UCAUUUAUCCCGGAUGUCUUAAUUCUACUUUUGUGCAACAGGCCCCAGGGCGACUGACAAUACAUUUGUGGUGACGGAAAGGCCAUUUGCAGCAAGACAAAUGUUGAACAUCAUCCGGAGAAGAAACCUCAAGUAUUUUAACUGCACGGGGUCUCAGAGAGGUAGUCCUAGAUGAAUUUCUAACAGGUGCAUCCUUCAGCCUGCGUUAUUUCAGAGCUGUAUCAUUUUAAUCUUUGAAUGAAAAAAAUGAUAAAGGGAAACAGGAUUCUACAAGGAUGACGGUAGUCCCCUAUUUGGAGGGAUGCAACUACACUUUUCUCUCACAAGAUGUCAGCAUCUCACCAGGUCUGUUGGCUCAAACCAGGGACCCUCUACACAAAUCGACAACAGUCACCCAUGAAGCAUCGGUACCUAUCGCUCCACAGAAGUCAUGGUCUUUGCAAAGCAAGGGAAACAACUACUCCAAGGUCUCAGCGAGUGACGCUAACUAGAAUUGCUUGACUGUUUGGUGUGGUUUUGCUUUGUAGUGUGACGUAGCCAGGCAUCACUACAGAUGUCUCUGUGUCUGAGUCUUGUCAUUAAAGGAGUGUGUCAUUCCCGCUGCUAGCCAUUCUCCCUCACAUCUGCAUAUCAAGGUCUGCUAUCUCUCUGUGUGUGUAACACAUACAUCCUGUAAAACAUGUUUUAAAGACCAACCGUGUGAGGGUGGUUGGGUCGGGUGGGUGGUCUGUGUUGUGGUGCUGGUGUGUGUGUGUGUUACCGUUGGUAAUUAGAUGUGUUCAUUUGAGUCUGAGGGGAAUAAGAAUUGGCUUUGAACUUGUUUGCUCUGUGAUCCACUGUGUGAUAGCAGGGGCUGUCUGUCUGGGUCCAAAACAACACAGUGGGGGUGGUGGAUAAACCGUGUUUGGAGAAUUGACUACUGUGGAGUAGUUUGGCCAUGUCUUUGCAGGGGUGCACUGCACCUUCGGAUGACUUUUAUGGAUUUCUGAUAAUGGCUUUCGGAGCAGCUUGUUAAUUUCCCUCUGCCAAAAAAAAGGAGAUGGAAAGUUGGAGAGAAAGAGAGGGACACACUGUUUCCUCUUAGACUGUUCCCAGUAGAGUGCUUUAUCUGAAGUGUCUCUAUGAAACAAAGUGAAUUACUGUAUCUAGACUGGCCAGAUAAGAGCCCUGCUUCAAGCUAAUGAGAUUUACAUCAAGGUCCUGAACAUUUUUAUUGACCAUGGCUUCUGGACUUGAUGCUGAGGUGGAUAUAGAUGAAUGGGUUUCCCCCUGUGUGCUUGUUUGAAGGUUUCCUCCCUUCUCUCUACACCAUCCUGUGCGUGUCUGUGUGCCUUUCCAUGAUUGGGUGAGUGACUGUGCAAUAUAAAGUGUUGACGUGUGCGGCAAAGGAACACACACCCCCAUUACACACAACAGCACAGGGCCAUUGAGUGGUUACACGGCACUGUGUCACGCGUAAAUGUGUUUAUUAGUCUACACAAAACCAACUAGAUUAUUUAGUGCUGCAAGUUGUUACAUCAUUGGUAGCAUAACUGCUGCCUGCCAUAUUGGCCUUGGUUAGGAGACAGAUAUGGUACAUGACAGUAGCAGGGAGCCACAGGGGACAGUCUUCCCAUUGAAAAUACGUUUUAUUACUGUGAAGUUGUGAGCAACUGUGUUGGUGAAGAAAUAUAAUGUCUUCGUAAUUGAAAAAAUAUUUCAAACUGAGCUGGCUUCUGCUAUUUUAUGCUGCUGCCUUUGGGUAAUUUUCAGCUUUUGUAUCUCUUAAUUUUAAAAACUAGGAGGUACAUUUGAAGUAGAGGUGAAGGUUCCAGAAUAUCUACUCCUGUCAGAGUCCAAUUAGUCUCUGAGACUGUGUCACUCUGUUGCUAAGAAGUGUCAGCUGCAUAGCGGCAGCAGAUUCUGAGCCGUAGGGCCUUGGGAUGCUCUCACACACACACACACACACACACACACACACACACACAGCUGUGUCCCCGCCUCUCUCACCUAAACAUCAGGGACAGGGAGUGAUCUCUUUCCCCAGUCUAACCUGAGGGCGUGCCCUGGGCAGCGUCAAUCUGUUUCCUGUCACCCUGCAUCUGCCGUUACACAACUCCCAACAAGUCUUCAAGACUUUGAAACAGACUUUAAUAAUCUGAGUGUGUGAGUUUCAACAUCAGCAUCGUAUACUGUGUAGAAAACUUUAGGAACACCUACUCUUUCCAUGACAUAAACUGCCCAGGUGAAUCCAGCUGAAAGCUAUGAUCCCUUAUUGAGGUCACUUGUUAAAUCCACUUCAAUCAGUGUAGAUGAAGGGGAGGAGACAGGUUAAAGAAGGGUUUUUAAACCUUGAGACAGUUGAGACAUGGAUGUGUGUGCCAUUCAGAGGGUGAACGAGCAAGAAAAAAUAUUGAAGUGCAUUAAACGGGGUAUGGUCUUAGGAUCCCGGCGCACCGGUUUGUCAAGAACUGCAACGCGGCUGGGUAUUUUCAUGCUCAACAGUUUCCCGACCAUCAAGAAUGGUCUACCAUCCCAAAGGACAUCCAGCCAACUUGACACAACUGUGGGAAGCAUUGGAAUUAACAUGGGCCAGCAUCCCUGUGGAACGCUUUCAACACAUUGUAGAGUCCUUGCCCUGACGAAGUGAGGCUGUUCCGAGGGCGAACAGUGUUCCUAAUAUUUUGUACACUCAGUGUAUUUGCUUGGUUAUGAGAAGGACCUUGAUGUUGGCUUCUGAAUUGCUGAGGGCUAGCAGGGCUUUUUCUUACUCAGGACUUUGUUCAUGUAUUUUUCAAACGGUGACCUCGGCAACAUUCAGAAUAUGUAUCAGCAUUUUAUUUAUGCAGUAUGUUUUGGAGUUGGUCUUUCUUGAAAAUAACUAUAGAUACUGUGAAAAAGAAGCCACUUGUUGGUCAAUAAAAUGUGUUGUUUUUAUGGUACCUGUGUAUAGAGCCAGAUUACCAGA